rnacentral:rRNA from 1 species
AUGAUUUUUCUUCCCUCUUGUAAUAAGAUUGCGCAUACACCAUGUAAUGCUUGCCAACUUGGACGGCAGCCGCGCCUCCCUUUCCCUACUUCACAUAGUCGCACCUUUGCUCCAUUUGAUUUAAUCCAUUGUGAUUUAUGGACCAGCCCCGUUGUAAGCUUUUCCGGUUAUCAAUAUUACUUGAUUGUGCUUGAUGACUACACUCACUUCUCAUGGUCAUUUCCUCUUCGCAACAAGUCGGACACAUCCCUUACUCUCCAACGUUUUUUCUCUUACGUUCGUACUCAAUACAAUGUGAUCAUCAAAGCCUUACAGUGCGACAAUGGUGGUGAGUUUAUCAACUCCACACUCCGUGCGUUCUUUUCUGCCAACGGCAUUGCCUACCGCUUCUCGUGCCCUCACACCUCACCACAGAAUGGCAAGGCCGAACGUCUUCUUCACACUACAAAUGACAUCAUCCGCACUCUCCUCGUCCAAGCCAACCUCACCCCUCCCUUCUGGGCUGAAGCCUUGCACACGGCCACAUAUCUCCUCAACCGUCGCCCUUCACGUGCCAUUCACGAUCACACACCGUACUACAUGCUUCAUGGCAUUCACCCCACGUACGAUCAUUUGCGAGUGUUUGGGUGUCUUUGUUACCCCAACCUCUAUGCCACAUCUCCCCAUAAGCUAGCCCCACGCUCCACUCGCUGCAUUUUCCUCGGUUAUCCCCUUGAACACAAGGGUUAUCGCUGCUACGAUCUCACACAACGACGCGUGAUCGUACCCCGUCACGUCACUUUUGACGAGAACAUUUUCCCAUAUGCACCGCCCACACCACCGCCCCAAUCCGCCCGCUCCACAGACAAUCCCAACCCGCCUGCCCUCCAAUCGCUGCAAGAUUCGCUCCCCUCCUCACCUACCUCGUACCGGGACCCACGCAAUCCUCCGAAUGGGACGCCCCCAUGCAGGCCACUCUCGUCUCGCCAGCUCCUCCCCAGCCCACCAACCACCUCCACGUGUAGCCCUCCCUCUGGAUCGCACCGGUCCCCCGCACCUGCCUCCCCACCACCCCCGCGCCCACGCGCUUCCUCGGGCCUCACGCCUGCCUUGCCCGCCGCAUCCGAUUCCUUGGAUCGCCGCGCCCGAUUCACCUGCCCGCGGAUCCUCCUUGGAUCCCGCGCCUGCCAGUCCUACCACCGACCCCACGCCAUCCACCUCUGA